rnacentral:rRNA from 1 species
AACGAACGCUGGCGGCAGGCCUAACACAUGCAAGUCGAGCGAGGACUUCGGUCAUAGCGGCGGACGGGUGAGUAACGCGUGGGAACGUGCCCUUUGCUUCGGAAUAGCCCUGGGAAACUGGGAGUAAUACCGGAAGAGCCCUCUGGGGGAAAGAUUUAUCGGCGAAGGAUCGGCCCGCGUUGGAUUAGGUAGUUGGUGGGGUAAUGGCCUACCAAGCCGACGAUCCAUAGCUGGUUUGAGAGGAUGAUCGGCCACACUGGGACUGAGACACGGCCCAGACUCCUACGGGAGGCGGCAGUGGGGAAACUUAGACAAUGGGGGAAACCCUGCUCAAGCCAUGCCGCGGGAGCGAUGAAGGCCUUAGGGUUGUAAAGCUCUUUAAGCUGGGAAGAUAAUGACGGUACCAGAAGAAGAAGCCCCGGCUAACUACGUG